GUGGAGGGGGGAUAACUACUGGAAACGGUAGCUAAUACCGCAUAACGUCGCAAGACCAAAGAGGGGGACCUUAGGGCCUCUUGCCAUCGGAUGUGCCCAGAUGGGAUUAGCUAGUAGGUGGGGUAACGGCUCACCUAGGCGACGAUCCCUAGCUGGUCUGAGAGGAUGACCAGCCACACUGGAACUGAGACACGGUCCAG
rnacentral:rRNA from 1 species